rnacentral:rRNA from 1 species
GAUGAACGCUGGCGGCGUGCCUAAUACAUGCGAGUCGAGCGAACGGACGAGAAGCUUGCUUCUCUGAUGUUAGCGGCGGACGGGUGAGUAACACGUGGAUAACCUACCUAUAAGACUGGGAUAACUUCGGGAAACCGGAGCUAAUACCGGAUGAUAUUUUGAACCGCAUGGUUCAAAAGUGAAAGACGGUCUUGCUGUCACUUAUAGAUGGAUCCGCGCUGCAUUAGCUAGUUGGUAAGGUAACGGCUUACCAAGGCAACGAUGCAUAGCCGACCUGAGAGGGUGAUCGGCCACACUGGAACUGAGACACGGUCCAGACUCCUACGGGAGGCAGCAGUAGGGAAUCUUUCGCAAUGGGCGAAAGCCUGACGGAGCAACGCCGCGUGAGUGAUGAAGGUCUUCGGAUCGUAAAACUCUGUUAUUAGGGAAGAACAUAUGUGUAAGUAACUGUGCACAUCUUGACGGUACCUAAUCAGAAAGCCACGGCUAACUACGUG